rfam:Oryza glumipatula chromosome 4, whole genome shotgun sequence.
AAAAAGACAAACUCUGGUUUUCGUGUCAAACGUUUGACCGUCCGUCUUAUUUGAAAAAAUUAUGAAAAAAAUUAAAAAGACAAGCCACGUAUAAAAUAUUAAUCAUGUUUUAUCAUCUAACAACAAUAAAAAUACAAAUUAUAAAAAAAUUCAUAUAAAACAGAUAGUUAAAGUUAGACAUAGAAACCCAGGGUUUGUCUGGGA